rnacentral:ncRNA from 1 species
UUGAGCCGGAUGAAAGGAAACUUUCACGUCCGAUUUUGAAGGGGGGGUGAUCCUAUAGAAUCCUAUCCCAAU